ACUACUUUUCUUGUCCGCCAAUCACCGCGUCACUAAACAAGGAUAGAGACUCGGGUGAAAGCAUCUAUCCUCGUCCGAAGUUUGACCAUUCUUUCUGCACAGAAAAGAUACGGGACGCGCAGUCUAUUUCUUAUAUGUCUAUGGAUCGCAGUUACAAUA